AUUGAACGCUGGCGGCAGGCCUAACACAUGCAAGUCGAGCGGAAACGAGUUAUCUGAACCUUCGGGGGACGAUAACGGCGUCGAGCGGCGGACGGGUGAGUAAUGCCUAGGAAAUUGCCCUGAUGUGGGGGAUAACCAUUGGAAACGAUGGCUAAUACCGCAUAAUGCCUACGGGCCAAAGAGGGGGACCUUCGGGCCUCUCGCGUCAGGAUAUGCCUAGGUGGGAUUAGCUAGUUGGUGAGGUAAUGGCUCACCAAGGCGACGAUCCCUAGCUGGUCUGAGAGGAUGAUCAGCCACACUGGAACUGAGACACGGUCCAGACUCCUACGGGAGGCAGCAGUGGGGAAUAUUGCACAAUGGGCGCAAGCCUGAUGCAGCCAUGCCGCGUGUGUGAAGAAGGCCUUCGGGUUGUAAAGCACUUUCAGUCGUGAGGAAGGUGGUGUAGUUAAUAGCUGCAUUAUUUGACGUUAGCGACAGAAGAAGCACCGGCUAACUCCGUGCCAGCAGCCGCGGUAAUACGGAGGGUGCGAGCGUUAAUCGGAAUUACUGGGCGUAAAGCGCAUGCAGGUGGUUUGUUAAGUCAGAUGUGAAAGCCCGGGGCUCAACCUCGGAAUAGCAUUUGAAACUGGCAGACUAGAGUACUGUAGAGGGGGGUAGAAUUUCAGGUGUAGCGGUGAAAUGCGUAGAGAUCUGAAGGAAUACCGGUGGCGAAGGCGGCCCCCUGGACAGAUACUGACACUCAGAUGCGAAAGCGUGGGGAGCAAACAGGAUUAGAUACCCUGGUAGUCCACGCCGUAAACGAUGUCUACUUGGAGGUUGUGGCCUUGAGCCGUGGCUUUCGGAGCUAACGCGUUAAGUAGACCGCCUGGGGAGUACGGUCGCAAGAUUAAAACUCAAAUGAAUUGACGGGGGCCCGCACAAGCGGUGGAGCAUGUGGUUUAAUUCGAUGCAACGCGAAGAACCUUACCUACUCUUGACAUCCAGAGAACUUUCCAGAGAUGGAUUGGUGCCUUCGGGAACUCUGAGACAGGUGCUGCAUGGCUGUCGUCAGCUCGUGUUGUGAAAUGUUGGGUUAAGUCCCGCAACGAGCGCAACCCUUAUCCUUGUUUGCCAGCGAGUAAUGUCGGGAACUCCAGGGAGACUGCCGGUGAUAAACCGGAGGAAGGUGGGGACGACGUCAAGUCAUCAUGGCCCUUACGAGUAGGGCUACACACGUGCUACAAUGGCGCAUACAGAGGGCAGCAAGCUAGCGAUAGUGAGCGAAUCCCAAAAAGUGCGUCGUAGUCCGGAUUGGAGUCUGCAACUCGACUCCAUGAAGUCGGAAUCGCUAGUAAUCGUGGAUCAGAAUGCCACGGUGAAUACGUUCCCGGGCCUUGUACACACCGCCCGUCACACCAUGGGAGUGGGCUGCAAAAGAAGUAGGUAGUUUAACCUUCGGGAGGACGCUUACCACUUUGUGGUUCAUGACUGG
rnacentral:rRNA from 1 species